rnacentral:rRNA from 1 species
UCCCAGUUCGGAUUGUAGUCUGNAACCCGACUACAUGAAGCUGGAAUCGCUAGUAAUCGCAGGUCAGCAUACUGCGGUGAAUACGUUCCCGGGUCUUGUACACACCGCCCGUCACACCAUGGGAGCCGGAAAUGCCCGAAGCCAGUGACCCAACCUUAGGGAGGGAGCUGUCGAAGGUGGAGCCGGUAACUGGGGUGAAGUCGUAACAAGGUAUC